rnacentral:rRNA from 1 species
GAUGAACGCUGGCGGCGUGCUUAACACAUGCAAGUCGAACGGUGAAGGCGGAGCUUGCUCUGCUGGAUCAGUGGCGAACGGUUGAGUAACACGUGAGCAAUCUGCCCCUGACUCUGGGAUAAGCGCUGGAAACGGCGUCUAAUACUGGAUACGAGCUGCGAAGGCAUCUUCAGCAGCUGGAAAGAACUUCGGUCAGGGAUGAGCUCGCGGCCUAUCAGCUUGUUGGUGAGGUAACGGCUCACCAAGGCGUCGACGGGUAGCCGGCCUGAGAGGGUGACCGGCCACACUGGGACUGAGAGACGGCCCAGACUCCUACGGGAGGCAGCAGUGGGGAAUAUUGCACAAUGGGCGAAAGCCUGAUGCAGCAACGCCGCGUGAGGGACGACGGCCUUCGGGUUGUAAACCUCUUUUAGCAGGGAAGAAGCGAAAGUGACGGUACCUGCAGAAAAAGCGCCGGCUAACUACGUG